rnacentral:misc_RNA from 1 species
AACGCAAAUUGCACUCCCUGGUAUUCCGGGGAGUAUGCCUGUUUGAGGGUCGUUAGAAUAAAAAUCGAGGCGUCGCUCUUUUUUUUAAGGGUGAUCGCGUCGGAAUUGAGCCGUCUUUCAAAUGUUAAUUCAUGUCAAAGUGGCUUAAAAUUCAUCCAUCCGGUACGAUUAAAGCGUAUUUAAGAUCAAUUUUGAUUAAGAACGCGCGAUGACGUACCAUCUCAUGUAGUACGUUUGACCUGGCGUCGUCAGGAUCAUUCGUAUACGAUACUCAAACUUUGACCUCAAAUCAGGUAAGAAUACCCGCUGAACUUAA